rnacentral:tRNA from 1 species
GGGUUUGUAGCUCAGCUGGUUAGAGCACAUGCUUGAUAAGCGUGGGGUCGGAGGUUCAAGUCCUCCCAGACCCACCA